rnacentral:lncRNA from 1 species
GAAAACCACAAACCGUCUCAGCUGCCCCCUAUAUAAACCUACAGCAAGACUCCCUCCAGCUCUGUGAAGUGUGUUCUAUCAAAUAGGAGCUCUGAAAUCAGACUGCCUGGGUUCAAAUCUUGCCACUGUUACUUAAGAGUGACCUUGAGCUGGGUAAUUAGUUGCUCUGUGCCUCAGUGUCCCCACUUCAGAACACAGGGCUGGUGUGCUAAUUAAAUAACACAUGUCAAUCACUUUAGCACAGCGCCUGGCACAUAGUAAGCCCUCAAUAAAUAAGUGAUAGCUACCAUCAUGAUGAGCUGCUACAAUGUAAGCGAGGCAAACACCAGAUGCAAGGGUUGUGUCCGCUCCGCGUCCAGGUCCCUCCCAGUUCUGAGCGAUCCCGAGGGGCGUGGGGGAUGGGAGCUCAGAGCCCGGCUGCAAACCCUGCACGCAUGUGUCACUGUCGGGCUCGGCACGCGCCUCUCCCCGCCCUGGGGAGAAGCGAUGGCUCAGCAGUCCCGGGCCCGCUCCCACCGCUCAGACCCGGCACCCGGGAGAGAAGGGGCUCCGACCCCACUUACCAUGCUGGCCGGGGAAGAGGGCGGCUCAGGCCUUGAUGACUUCAGCUGAAGAAGGAUGCAGAAGGAAGGGACUAGCAAAGGGAUUUCCCCUUGCAUAAAGGAAGACCUCAGCCUGGCACCUUCCUCUGGAGCAGUCAGGAACCUGCCCAACGUAUCAUGACACACCUGUAGAAGCCCUCUAGUAGACAAGUCUGGAUUUUCCUCAAACACUCAGUGAAUGAUGGCCUCUGCUGCCCAAAAAGGGGGCCAAGGAAGUGUGGUGGGUCCCAAGGUUGACAAUAGUUGGUGGACUAUCUCCACUCUUCAGCCUGCUUGAAGAACCAAGAUUUUCCACUCAGUAGUCCUCAGCAGAAUUUACUUACCUAUGUGACUCACUUUGAAACAUAGAGCCUGGCAUGGGGACCACCAGGACAGAACUGCUGGCUGGGUGUGGGCUGAGCGUGUUGGAGGGUGGUUAGGAAUACUCUUGCAUCCACAUGGCCC